GACUUGCAUCCUCAUGAAACUCUUAAACCCCCUCCUGACCUUCAGAGAUGUUUAUCACCAGAGAUGGGUUAUGAAAGUGAUCCUAUAGAACCUGAGGGAUUGCUUAACUCAAACUCUACUUCUACAUUAGAGUAUCUUCUGAGAAACGACCUCAACAAAAUUUGCUAUCUACCUAUUUACUAACAUAAAUGAGGAAACCAAAAAGGUCAACGGUGAGGCAGGAAGGUUUCAGUUCAGUGGAGAAAAGAAAAUCUUGAUGAAAUGUCAUUAACUUCCAUAUUUGGAAUAAGCUAUAAAAGCUUGUCGAAGGUCUAAUUUAUGUGCAAGACUGAAAGCUGUUUAAACGGAUAAUAUGCUUCCUUCAUGAGAAAUACCACCCCUUUAUGCUCCAUUAAAUUCAGACGUUGACUCUAUAAGCUACGUACCAAUUAUUUCUUUCCAGAAACAGCAACAUAGUUUUUUCUGCAAGGGACAACAGAUUAUUGUAGGCUGCUAUUAAUCUCCACAUAGUUCACAAAAUACACAGGACACUAGGGAGAAACAAUCACGUUGCUAUUUUAACAUUUGCAAAAUGCUAUGUGGAGCGGAAAUAAAAAGAAGAUGCCUGUCUGAUUGC
rnacentral:lncRNA from 1 species